GAUGAACGCUGGCGGCGUGCCUAAUACAUGCAAGUAGAACGCUGAAGGAGGAGCUUGCUCUUCUGGAUGAGUUGCGAACGGGUGAGUAACGCGUAGGUAACCUGCCUGGUAGCGGGGGAUAACUAUUGGAAACGAUAGCUAAUACCGCAUGACAACAGUUAUUGCAUGAUAACUGUUUAAAAGGGGCAACUGCUCCACUACCAGAUGGACCUGCGUUGUAUUAGCUAGUUGGUGAGGUAACGGCUCACCAAGGCGACGAUACAUAGCCGACCUGAGAGGGUGAUCGGCCACACUGGGACUGGGACACGGCCCAGACUCCUACGGGAGGCAGCAGUAGGGGAUCUUCGGCAAUGGACGGAAGUCUGACCGAGCAACGCCGCGUGAGUGAAGAAGGUUUUCGGAUCGUAAAGCUCUGUUGUAAGAGAAGAACGAGUGUGAGAGUGGAAAGUUCACACUGUGACGGUAUCUUACCAGAAAGGGACGGCUAACUACGUG
rnacentral:rRNA from 1 species